CCGGAAGUCCGAACAAGUGUGUGCAUGAGGUGUCCACGAGGUUCCUGCUGAUGGAAAAGAAGUUAAGGAACGUAUAUACACACCGUGGACACCGACUGUUCCGGCAGGCCUCUGGUAGUGCAAAGAUUUUUCUACUGGGACAAUCCAGUGAGGUGGUGCAGUAUCGUUCUGUGGUCCUCAAGAGGUGAAGUGUUUAGCCAUUUGACAUUAAUUCCACACCAAACUUCAUUAAAUUCACUUUAUAAGACACCCAGUGGCUACAUCCAACACCCACAAAGGCACGUCCAAAACCUGUCAGAAUCUACUGGCUUUCGUUUAUUUACUGCAACCACCAUUCAUUCAUCUGUAAUCUGUCAAGACGACAGGUCCACAGUCUCUUCCAAAAUAAUUCCUCCACUUAA